rnacentral:lncRNA from 1 species
GAAUUCUAAUAUGAUCUGCUUCUUUUGAUUUGUAAACAACACCAUGAUAAAAUGCUCAAUAUAUCUAUAAAAUUGAGAAUGGAAAUGGGGAAUGUGCCAAAGAGACAACAACCCGACCACAGAGCAGACAACAGCAGAAGGUCGCCAACAGGUCUUCCAUGCAACAAGAAAUUCCCGCACCCGGAGGUGUCCUUCAGCUAGCCCCUAAACAAAUAUAUACUAGUUCAGUGAUAAUGAACGCCAUACUAAACUCCAAAUUGUACACAAG